UGCGCAGGCGGUUUGUUAAGACAGAUGUGAAAUCCCCGGGCUUAACCUGGGAACUGCAUUUGUGACUGGCAAGCUAGAGUAUGGCAGAGGGGGGUAGAAUUCCACGUGUAGCAGUGAAAUGCGUAGAUAUCUGGAGGAACACCGGUGGCGAAGGCGGCAUCCUGGACCAACACUGACACUGAGGAGCGAAAAGCCAGGGGGAAGCAAACG
rnacentral:rRNA from 1 species